AUGCGAAGAUCCCAGCAGAGAGGUGAAUUACUCUUAUUAUUGAGGCCACUCUAACUAUAUAUUUCUUAACCUUCGCAGAUUUAUUUGCCGAAUCGUAGGAUAUCCAAAUUUAUGUGUUUUGGUGUAUCUAGAAAUCUCGGCUAUAUUCUA
rfam:Cicer arietinum chromosome Ca7, whole genome shotgun sequence.